AUGAUACUACGUUUUUUUCUUGUAUUUCGAGUGUAUUUUACGCUGUAUUUUGAAAGAAAGAGAAGGUCACAUACAAUUUCAGUACUUGUGUAAGCGAGUAAGCUAUAUACCAAAAAACAAACGAAAAACUAACGAAAAACAAACUAGGUUGUUAAAAACAGUCCGGCCAACUUGUAUUUCGUUAGGUUUUUUUGACAGAUGGCUGUAUUUCGUUAGUUUUUUUACACAGCUGUUUGCAUUUUGACAUACGAGAGAUUUUCUAAGCAUACAAUGGAAAUACAAGUUUUAUCUAUUGCAACAAAUUGUUUGCUAAACGCUGCUGCCUUAAUACAGCGUAGGAAAAAGAAAAAGACUAAAAAAAAUAUUCUGCGCAAUGGCUUUUAAAAAGAGAACUGGAAGGAUUUAGCCAUAAACUGUUAAAGGAAAUUGAGUGCGAGGAUUCAAUCCUUCACAAAAAUAUCUUAAGAAUGACUCCAGCUCAGUUUGCAUUCUUAUUAGAAAAAGUACGCCCCUAUAUUAGCAAGCAGGAUA